ensembl:lncRNA
GCCAGAGAGAGAGAGAAAGAUCCCCACUUCACAACUCUCCCCUGGAAGCCUCAGCUGCUGGCUAGACCGCGCGGUUACACAAGCAGCUUGCCUGCGAACAGGAAUGGCGGCGUGCGGACGGCUCGUUUUCACGCCAAAGCGGCCACGGAUCUAAUCGGACAGACGAAGGAGACGAAGAAAAGCCCGUGUGCGCACGAAAGCCGCGGACGAAAACGGGAAACCUCUCUGUGAUUUUCAAAAGAGAGCGAGGGAGAGAGGAGGGGUUGGGAGGGUAGGCUGUUGGGGGUGGGGAAAGGCUUGGAAAUCCACGGAUGCCCGAAAGUGCGCUUUUAUUCGGUGCGUAAUGACACGACGCGUCUCCCUCCCUGAUUGCUCCGACGACUCGCUGUCGACGUGAAGAAGGAGGAGGAGGGGGGGCUCAACGUAUGCGGCCGUGCCGGGCGAACAGCCUACCGGGGACGGUUUUUUAUAUCCAGAUUCUAUAACCGACAAGGGAGCAGAGGCUACAGCCCCGUUGCGCGCAACACGGCACACAUGGCACGCCCCCUCUCGCCUCCUCCCCGCUCCACACUGAGAGGAGACGGGAGGGGAGGCGGGAGGGGAGGUGGAGGCGUUUGCUGGGGCGCCAUUUUCAAAAGCCUGCUUUUGCCUACGAGGUGUGUGUUUUGCUGCAGGAGGGCUGCAGCCCGUCCUGCCUUCUCAUGUUACACACUUAUCUGACGAAGGAGAGCACGGACUGAAGAAAACAAAGGAAUGUGGACGGAAUCUCCACCACGCCAUCUAUUACUCUUUUCACUUUCUCUGUUUGUUUGUUUUUAUUCUUGCAAAAGGAGUGUGUGUGCAAUUCAAAAAAAAAAAAAGAAGAAGAAGCACAGUGACGCUUUAUUUAAUUGGUUGCCGACCACCUGGAGUUUCAACAUUUCCCCUGGCUGAUUUCAGACUCCCUCACACCAAUGUGACGUCUAUGGCUGAAGAAAAGACAGAUGAAAAGGGGGGGGGGGGGGGGGGAUCUGCAAUUCAAAAAUUCAUAUAGUGUUUCGCGGAUUGCAUGCUGUUAUUUUCCGUUUUAUCUGCAAUAAUUUAUAAGUCAUGCUAACGUUUUCAAAUAAAGAUUUUAAAAAGCAAACGUAUGUUUUAACUCUUUUUUUUUGGUUCUUUUUUUUGGACAUCUAAUUGCACAAAGUGCUCAAUAAACAAGCACAUGACCUGCAGGUGUGUGUGCAACACUGGACACCGUCUGCAAGACACUACGCUCUCUGUAUUAGUCUCUCUCUCUCUCUCACACACACACACACACACACACAGAGACAUCAGGAUCUUGUGUGUGCAGAGAGAUGUGGCGACCAGGAAGGAAGGAGGCCUGUGAGGUCACCAGGGGAGAAAGAGGAGGAGAGACGAUAACAGACUCGAGAGGGUAAGAGAAAGCAAGUGGGGGAGCAUGUGUGUGUGCAGGUGUGUGUGUGUG